rnacentral:other from 2 species
UGCCCUCUGCGGUAACAGUAGUAGGUUAUUAUAUUUUGAACCGAUAAUUACUUGUUAAGGGAUUUAUUGAGUAUCGUUGUUGAGCCAUCUUUUUUUAAGAAAGCCUGAUGUGAUACCGCCGACUCCCACCUGAGCCACAGGGUUCAAAGACAGGUCUGCUGCGUUAUCUUGGAGGGUCU